rnacentral:rRNA from 1 species
CCUACGGGAGGCAGCAGUGGGGAAUUUUGGACAAUGGGCGCAAGCCUGAUCCAGCAAUGCCGCGUGAGUGAAGAAGGCCUUCGGGUUGUAAAGCUCUUUUGUCAGGGAAGAAACGGUGGGAGCUAAUAUCUCCCGCUAAUGACGGUACCUGAAGAAUAAGCACCGGCUAACUACGUGCCAGCAGCCGCGGUAAUACGUAGGGUGCAAGCGUUAAUCGGAAUUACUGGGCGUAAAGCGUGCGCAGGCGGUUUUGUAAGUCUGUCGUGAAAGCCCCGGGCUCAACCUGGGAAUUGCGAUGGAGACUGCAAGGCUUGAAUCUGGCAGAGGGGGGUAGAAUUCCACGUGUAGCAGUGAAAUGCGUAGAGAUGUGGAGGAACACCGAUGGCGAAGGCAGCCCCCUGGGUCAAGAUUGACGCUCAUGCACGAAAGCGUGGGGAGCAAACAGGAUUAGAUACCCUGGUAGUCCACGCCCUAAACGAUGUCUACUAGUUGUCGGGCUUUAAUUAACUUGGUAACGCAGCUAACGCGUGAAGUAGACCGCCUGGGGAUACGGUCGCAAGAUUAAAACUCAAAGGAAUUGACCGGNNGAGAGAGCGACGACGACGACGAGGGAGGAGG